rnacentral:lncRNA from 1 species
GCUGAUCUCGUCGACUGUGUGUAACCUGUAUUCCAGGAGAAUGCCGGCCUCAGUCAUAGAACCUAUUUGGUAAAGAGGAGUAACCUGCCCUCCUGCCCUGAUGCUCCUGAGGACAAAGUCUCAAAGCAGGUAGAGAUGGAUGUUGCCAGAGGUUUGUGAGUUUCCAAGUGUGCCCUGCCCCGGGGGUCAGGGGCAGGUCUGGCCUCCCGCUGUGCCACAUAGGGACCUCCUCAAAAGCUCAGAUGCUCUUUGAUCAAUUCCCCUUGUCUGUUUCUCCGACGUCUCCCUCCCACACCAUCUCUAGGUAAUUG